UACGGGGGGGGCAAGCGUUGUUCGGAAUUACUGGGCGUAAAGGGCUCGUAGGUGGCCAACUAAGUCAUACGUGAAAUCCCUCGGCUUAACCGGGGAACUGCGUCUGAUACUGGAUGGCUUGAGGUUGGGAGAGGGAUGCGGAAUUCCAGGUGUAGCGGUGAAAUGCGUAGAUAUCGUAAGGAAGACCAGUGGCGAAGGCGGGUCUCUGGACAGUUCCUGACGCUGAGGCACGAAGGUCAGGGGAGCAAACGGG
rnacentral:rRNA from 1 species